CUGGAGGAAAGACAAAGGGAAAACUGGAGGCAGCCGAUACAAAUUAGCACAGAGUUGGCUACAUAAGGAGCUUAAAUUGUCAUCUUUUUAUGUUGUUGGAUGCCAGAAUCAACAGAGUAAAGGGUCCAAUUUAAAAUUUUAUCGCAUAGCUGCUGCCACUGACAGACAAAAAAAACGACGACAGCUGUGGUUAAACGCAGUAAAAGGACAGAGCAGAAACGAUCAUCAGACGAUCAACAAUCAUCAGGACAGAAAUGAUCAUCAAAAAUGCUAGCAUUUGCAGCACACACUUCAUAUCAGGAGCCUGAGCUACUGAGUUGUCCACCUGUCACCUGACCUCCUCAGACAGGAAGAGAAACAAAACAGGUUAUGAGUAAGAAGCCUGAAACAAUGUGAGUACAGGACAGAACUUUGGCUCCCACGAGCAUACAUUACCCAGCAUUCUUAGGUCACCUCACUCCUUCAGACUGGUAGAGCAUCAUCUAUCACAACAGCACAUCCUAUCACGAGUCCUUGUGU
ensembl:lncRNA